rnacentral:ribozyme from 1 species
UGUUUGUCCUUGUCUUUCUUUCCUUCCUUCCUUCUCUUGAAUUUCACCUGGGGGGCAUACCAUUCUCCUAAAGACACCGGUUGAUGCUUGUAGCAAGUGAAUCUGUAAGAAAAGAAAAGCAAUUAAAGCAAAGGAAUA